rnacentral:lncRNA from 1 species
AGUGAAGGACAGUGCUCACACAUCGAUGCUAUUGCCAAGAUGAGAAGUGUGCUGUCCAAGAAGAUAAAAUCUGAGAUGAAGAUGAGGGAAGAGAAAAUAAAAGAGAAGAGAGUGGAUAAAGGGAGAGGGUUAAGGGAAAUGAAAGAGAUCAUCUCACACUACAAAAGAAAACAUCGAAAGUUAAGAUGGAUAAUUUAUGGACAAAGAAAGAAAAACAAAAUUCUAAAGUAGAGAAUUGUUGAGCUUGAAGGAAGCCUUGUGCCUCCAAAGGAUGUGGAAGAAGCUGAGGUUGGAGAUGAUGGAGCUCCAUCC